CUGUUUCCUCAACUGUGACAUAUAGAGAUGCACCGAUUGCAAAAUUCUUGGCCGAUACCGAUUUCCGGUUUUUGAGGGGGUCUGACCUGCCAAAACCGGUUUUACCGAUACCGAUUUUCUAUCUAAGAAAUCAUUAUAAUCAUACAAUAGACACCAUAUUUACUUGGCUUGAGAAUAAAACAUCAAAAAUAAGAUAUAGUGAGUUUCAACAACAAUCAACGACAUCUUUGUUUUGCUUUGGUUCAGUUUUGAGCUGUCCGCGUUGAGCUGCUGCGCAUGCGUGUCAGCGUGACCGGCCAAAAACCGGAAAUGACGACAGUGACCGGCCGGUCACCGAUUGGGCCGAUUGGAUAGAAAACCGGCCUUUUUGAUCGGCGGCCGAUUGACCGAUGCAUCUCUAUUUCAGAGUUUUC